rnacentral:rRNA from 1 species
AUACGGAGGAUCCGAGCGUUAUCCGGAUUUAUUGGGUUUAAAGGGUGCGCAGGCGGCCAUUUAAGUCAGCGGUUAAAUCGUGGGGCUCAACCCCAUUCUGCCGUUGAUACUGGGUGGCUUGAUUGCGGUCGAGGUUGGCGGAAUUCGUUGUGUAGCGGUGAAAUGCAUAGAUAUGACGAAGAACAACGAUUGCGUAGGCAGCUGACCAGACCGCAAAUGACGCUCAUGCACGAAAGUGCGGGGAUCGAACAGGAUUAGAUACCCUGGUAGUCCGCACAGUAAACGAUGAAUACUUGUUUUCGGCGAUAUAAUGUCGGAGGCAAAGCGAAAGCGAUAAGUAUUCCCCCUGGGGAGUACGCCGGCAACGGUGAAACUCAAAGGAAUUGGCGGGG